GGCGUAUCUUGCCCAGGCGGAACUCGACCACCAUUGGAUGAAAUAAUGCUGCUGCUUGAUGACUUGAGUGGCGAAUAGGGGUUCGGGCCAGGAUGCCGCGAAUUGGAUAUUGCCCC
rfam:Lasius niger Lnig_2.1_34656, whole genome shotgun sequence.